GGUAGCUUAAUGUUAAAGCGCCCAACCAGCAAUUGGGGGAUCUGAGUUCAAGUCCCAGACCG
rfam:Strigamia maritima strain Brora ctg7180001231967, whole genome shotgun sequence.